AACGUACGCUGGCGGCACGCCUAACACAUGCAAGUCGAACGAAGUAGCAAUACUUAGUGGCAGACGGGUGAGUAACAUGUGGGUAUCUGCCCUUUGGCCUGGAAUAACACGAGGAAACUUGUGCUAAUACCGGAUAAGUCUUUACGGAGAAAGCUUUAUGCACCAUUGGAUGAGCCCGCACUUGAUUAGUUUGUUGGUGGGGUAAUGGCCUACCAAGACUGUGAUCAAUAGCUGAUUUGAGAGGAUGAUCAGCCACAUUGGGACUGAGACACGGCCCAAACUCCUACGGGAGGCAGCAGUGGGGAAUCUUGCACAAUGGAGGAAACUCUGAUGCAGCGAUGCCGCGUGAGUGAAGAAGGCCCUUGGGUUGUAAAGCUCUUUCGUCGGGGAAGAAAAUGACUGUACCCGAAUAAGAAGGUCCGGCUAACUUCGUGCCAGCAGCCGCGGUAAUACGAAGGGACCUAGCGUAGUUCGGAAUUACUGGGCUUAAAGAGUUCGUAGGUGGUUGAAAAAGUUAGUGGUGAAAUCCCAGAGCUUAACUCUGGAACUGCCAUUAAAACUUUUCAGCUAGAGUAUGAUAGAGGAAAGCAGAAUUUCUAGUGUAGAGGUGAAAUUCGUAGAUAUUAGAAAGAAUACCAAUUGCGAAGGCAGCUUUCUGGAUCAUUACUGACACUGAGGAACGAAAGCAUGGGUAGCGAAGAGGAUUAGAUACCCUCGUAGUCCAUGCCGUAAACGAUGUGUGUUAGACGUUGGAAAUUUAUUUUCAGUGUCGCAGCGAAAGCGAUAAACACACCGCCUGGGGAGUACGACCGCAAGGUUAAAACUCAAAUGAAUUGACGGGGACCCGCACAAGUAGUGGAGCAUGUGGUUUAAUUCGAAGAUACGCGCAGAACCUUACCAACACUUGACAUGUUCGUCGUGACUUUAAGAGAUUAGAGUUUUCGGUUCGGCCGGACGAAACACAGGUGCUGCAUGGCUGUCGUCAGCUCGUGUCGUGAGAUGUUGGGUUAAGUCCCGCAACGAGCGCAACCCUCACUUUUAGUUGCCAUCAUUAAGUUGGGCACUCUGAAAGAACUGCCAGUGAUAAGCUGGAGGAAGGUGGGGAUGACGUCAAGUCCUCAUGGCCCUUACGUGUUGGGCUACACACGUGCUACAAUGGUAUCUACAACAGGAAGCAAGACUGCGAGGUCAAGCAAAUCCUUAAAAGAUACCUCAGUUCGGAUUGCACUCUGCAACUCGAGUGCAUGAAGCUGGAAUUACUAGUAAUCGUGGAUCAGCGUGCCACGGUGAAUGCGUUCCCGGGUCU
rnacentral:rRNA from 1 species